AUGGCGGCGGCGGCGGCGGAGCAGGACUACUGGGGCCUGUUCCGGGAGGAGACGGGCUGGUACAACGAGAUCUUCCUCAGCGCCGUCGUGCCGGGCGGCGGCGGCUGGUGGCGGGCGCUGCCGCACCCGCUCCGCUCCUGGCUGCGCAACUGCAUCGGCGGCUACCUCCUCUACUUCGCCACCGGCUUCCUCUGGUGCUUCGUCAUCUACUACUGGAAGCGCAACGCCUACAUCCCCAAAGAUGCUGUCCCUACAGUAGAAGCUAUGAAGAAGCAAAUAAUUGUUGCAUCAAAGGCUAUGCCUUUCUACUGUGCUCUUCCAUCCGUAUCUGAGCACAUGAUUGAGAGUGGAUGGACACGGUGUUUCUUUCAUAUCAGCGAAGUUGGUUGGCCCAUGUACAUUGUCUAUGUGUCUCUAUAUCUCAUCUUUGUGGAGUUUGGAAUUUACUGGAUGCACAGAGAGUUGCAUGACAUAAAGCCACUAUACAAGCAUCUACAUGCAACCCACCACAUUUACAACAAGGAGAACACCCUAUCACCAUUUGCUGGACUAGCAUUCCAUCCAUUGGACGGGAUACUGCAAGCCAUAUCGCACGUGAUUGCUCUGUUCCUUCUCCCGAUGCACUUCAGGACGCACAUUGCUCUGUUAUUCAUAGAGGCGGUGUGGACGGCCAACAUCCACGACUGCAUCCAUGGCAAGAUCUGGCCGGUGAUGGGCGCCGGCUACCACACCAUCCACCACACGACGUACCGGCACAACUACGGCCACUACACCGUGUGGAUGGACUGGCUGUUUGGCACCCUCCGCGAGCCGGAGGAUCUCCUCAAGAAGGACUGA
rnacentral:rRNA from 1 species